GAUGAACGCUGGCGGCGUGCCUAAUACAUGCAAGUCGAGCGAAUGGAUUAAGAGCUUGCUCUUAUGAAGUUAGCGGCGGACGGGUGAGUAACACGUGGGUAACCUGCCCAUAAGACUGGGAUAACUCCGGGAAACCGGGGCUAAUACCGGAUAAUAUUUUGAACUGCAUGGUUCAAAAUUGAAAGGCGGCUUCGGCUGUCACUUAUGGAUGGACCCGCGUCGCAUUAGCUAGUUGGUGGGGUAACGGCUCACCAAGGCAACGAUGCGUAGCCGACAUGAGAGGGUGAUCGGCCACACUGGGACUGAGACACGGCCCAGACUCCUACGGGAGGCAGCAGUAGGGAAUCUUCCGCAAUGGACGAAAGUCUGACGGAGCAACGCCGCGUGAGUGAUGAAGGCUUUCGGGUCGUAAAACUCUGUUGUUAGGGAAGAACAAGUGCUAGUUGAAUAAGCUGGCACCUUGACGGUACCUAACCAGAAAGCCACGGCUAACUACGUGCCAGCCGCCGCGGUAA
rnacentral:rRNA from 1 species